rnacentral:rRNA from 1 species
UACGUAGGGUGCAAGCGUUUGUCCGGAAUUAUUGGGCGUAAAGAGCGUGUAGGCGGCCCGAUUAGUCCGCUGUGAAAGUCCAGGGCUCAACCCUGGAAUGCCGGUGGAUACUGUCGGGCUAGAGUCCGGAAGGGGCGAGUGGAAUUCCUGGUGUAGCGGUGAAAUGACGCAGAUAUCAGGAGGAACACCAAUGGCGAAGGCAGCUCGCUGGGACGUGACUGACGCUGAGACGCGAAAGCGUGGGGAGCAAACAGG